UACAUGGGGUGCAAACGUUGCUCGGAAUUAUUGGGCGUAAAGCGCACGUAGGCGGUUCGUUAAGUCGGAUGUGAAAGCCCUCGGCUCAACUGAGGAAGUGCACCCGAAACUGGCGAGCUUGAGUACGAAAGAGGAUCGCGGAAUUUCCGGUGUAGCGGUGAAAUGCGUAGAUAUCGGAAGGAACACCAGUGGCGAAGGCGAGUCUCUGGACAUUUCCUGACGCUGAGGCACGAAAGCCAGGGGAGCAAACGGG
rnacentral:rRNA from 1 species